ACCCACACACACACACACACACACACACACACACACACACACACACACACACACACACACACACACACACACACACACACACACACACACACGUGUGAGAACAUGAAGGUGGUGUAGUGAUGAAGGUGGUGUAGUGAUGCAGGUGGUGUAGUGAUGAAGGUGGUGUAGUGAUGCAGGUGGUGUAGUGAUGAAGGUGGUGUAGUGAUGAAGGUAGUGUAGUGAUGAAGGUGGUGUAGUGAUGAAGGUGGUGUAGUGAUGAAGGUGGUGUAGUGAUGAAGGUGGUGUAGUGAUGAAGGUGGUGUAGUGAUGAAGGUGGUGUAGUGAUGCAGGUGGUGUAGUGAUGAAGGUGGUGUAGUGAUGAAGGUGUUGUAGUGAUGCAGGUGGUGUAGUGAUGAAGGUGGUGUAGUGAUGCAGGUGGUGUAGUGAUGAAGGUGGUGUAGUGAUGAAGGUGGUGUAGUGAUGAAGGUGGUGUAGUGAUGAAGGUGGUGUAGUGAUGAAGGUGGUGUAGUGAUGAAGGUGGUGUAGUGAUGCAGGUGGUGUAGUGAUGCAGGUGGUGUAGUGAUGAAGGUGGUGUAGUGAUGAAGGUGGUGUAGUGAUGCAGGUGGUGUAGUGAUGCAGGUGGUGUAGUGAUGAAGGUGGUGUAGUGAUGCAGGUGGUGUAGUGAUGAAGGUGGUGACGUGAUGAAGGUGGUGUAGUGAUGAAGGUGGUGUAGUGAUGAAGUUGGUGUAGUGAUGAAGGUGGUGUAGU